rnacentral:rRNA from 1 species
GGGUCAGUAGGUUGGUCGUGCCACCGGUACGUACUGGUCUCACUGAUUCCUCCUUCCUGAAGAGCCGUAAUGCCAUUAAUUUGGUGUUGCGGGGAAACAGGACUGUUACUUUGAAAAAAUUAGAGUGUUUAAAGCAAGCUAACGCUUGAAUACAUUAGCAUGGAAUAAUGAAAUAGGACGAUCGAUCCUAUUUUAUUGGUUUCUAGGAUUGACGUA